rnacentral:misc_RNA from 1 species
GAUGAAGAACGCAGCGAAAUGCGAUAAGUAAUGUGAAUUGCAGAAUUCAGUGAAUCAUCGAAUCUUUGAACGCACAUUGCGCCCGCCAGUAUUCUGGCGGGCAUGCCUGUUCGAGCGUCAUUUCAACCAUCAAGCCCCCGGCUUGUGUUGGGGACCCUGCGGCUGCCCGCAGGCCCUGAAAACCAGUGGCGGGCUCGCUGUCACUCCGAGCGUAGUAGCAUAUAUCUCGCUCAGGGCGUGCUGCGGGUUCCGGCAGUUAAAAGCCUUUUUUUUACCCAAGGUUGACCUCGGAUCAGGUAGGAAGACCCGCUGAACUUAAGCAUAUCAAUAAGCGGAGGA